rnacentral:rRNA from 1 species
UACCAGCACCCCGAGUGGUCGGGACGUUUAUUGGGCCUAAAGCAUCCGUAGCCGGUUCUACAAGUCUUCCGUUAAAUCCAACUGCUUAACAGGUGGGCUGCGGAAGAUACUAUAGAGCUAGGAGGCGGGAGAGGCAAGCGGUACUCGAUGGGUAGGGGUAAAAUCCGUUGAUCCAUUGAAGACCACCAGUGGCGAAGGCGGCUUGCCCAGAACG